AAAUUUUUACCUCUUUUGGCUUAUUGUACAUUAUCUCGAUCUCAAGACAGAUUUUGGUCGUAACCAGCUGAGUUUUUAUAGUCAUAUGGUUAGGGUAUUGUCGGUAACAUUGUGAUUUCAGCAUCUACAUAUACAUUUUUGCAGCCAUUUUAUGAAAUAAAUCUUGUAGUUGGAACUUAUUUACAAUGGCUGCCACUGAAUUUUAAUGUUUGUUUUUGAUAAUUAGAAAAAAAU
rnacentral:sRNA from 1 species